rnacentral:rRNA from 1 species
UGAGCUUGAUCAUGGCUCAGAUUGAACGCUGGCGGCAGGCCUAACACAUGCAAGUCGAGCGGUAGAGAGAAGCUUGCUUCUCUUGAGAGCGGCGGACGGGUGAGUAAUGCCUAGGAAUCUGCCUAGUGGUGGGGGAUAACGUUCGGAAACGGACGCUAAUACCGCAUACGUCCUACGGGAGAAAGCGGGGGACCUUCGGGCCUCGCGCCAUUAGAUGAGCCUAGGUCGGAUUAGCUAGUUGGUGAGGUAAAGGCUCACCAAGGCGACGAUCCGUAACUGGUCUGAGAGGAUGAUCAGUCACACUGGAACUGAGACACGGUCCAGACUCCUACGGGAGGCAGCAGUGGGGAAUAUUGGACAAUGGGCGAAAGCCUGAUCCAGCCAUGCCGCGUGUGUGAAGAAGGUCUUCGGAUUGUAAAGCACUUUAAGUUGGGAGGAAGGGUAGUAACUUAAUACGUUGCUACUUUGACGUACCGACAG